AACGAACGCUGGCGGCAGGCUUAACACAUGCAAGUCGAGCGAGACCUUCGGGUCUAGCGGCGGACGGGUGAGUAACGCGUGGGAACGUGCCCUUCUCUACGGAAUAGCCCCGGGAAACUGGGAGUAAUACCGUAUACGCCCUUUGGGGGAAAGAUUUAUCGGAGAAGGAUCGGCCCGCGUUGGAUUAGGUAGUUGGUGGGGUAAUGGCCCACCAAGCCGACGAUCCAUAGCUGGUUUGAGAGGAUGAUCAGCCACACUGGGACUGAGACACUGCCCAGACUCCUACGGGAGGCAGCAGUGGGGAAUCUUAGACAAUGGGGGCAACCCUGAUCUAGCCAUGCCGCGUGAGUGAUGAAGGCCUUAGGGUUGUAAAGCUCUUUCAGCUGGGAAGAUAAUGACGGUACCAGCAGAAGAAGCCCCGGCUAACUCCGUG
rnacentral:rRNA from 1 species